CUAUACCAUUUAACAGAGGGGAUCAAGCUGAUUCUAUACCAUUUAACAGAGGGGAUCAAGCUGAUUCUAUACCAUUUAACAGAGGGGAUCAAGCUGAUUCUAUACCAUUUUACAGAGGGGAUCAAGCUGAUUCUAUACCAUUUAACAGAGGGGAUCAAGCUGAUUCUAUACCAUUUAACAGAGGGGAUCAAGCUGAUUCUAUACCAUUUAACAGAGGGGAUCAAGCUGAUCAUAUACCAUUUUACAGAGGGGAUCAAGCUGAUUCUAUACCAUUUUACAGAGGGGAUCAAGCUGAUUCUAUACCAUUUUACAGAGGGGAUCAAGCUGAUUCUAUACCAUUUUACAGAGGGGAUCAAGCUGAUUCUAUACCAUUUUACAGAGGGGAUCAAGCUGAUUCUAUACCAUUUUACAGAGGCCAGUUCAUGAAGGAAGUCAUUUCACUGAGCAGCCACUACAAACACAGGCUGUAAAACAGUGAUCAUUAACAUUACAUCAUCAAACAGGUCAUUACAGAAAACACCAGACUGAAACCUAUCAGGAUUAUUUGUGAGGAUAACACCACAGAGAGUAGCCUUUUCUGGGUGUUUGGAGUCAUACCUUGUGGGAUUGGUAAUAAUCUGAUAAAGAUUUAGGGAGUGCCAUUGCUUUAGGACUUGGUCAGGGGGUUUAAGCAUGUCCCAGUUUAGGUCACCUAGCAGGACAAAUUCAGACUUAGUGUAAGGGGCCAGGAGAGAAUUUAGGGCAGGUAGGGUACAGGCCAGUGCUGAUGGAGGACGAUAGCACCCAGGAAGAGUCAACAAAGAGCUAUUUGAAAGUGUAAUACUUAAAACCUGCAAAUCAAAUUGUUUGGGGACAGACUUGGUGGAGACAACCGAGCACUGAAGGUGAUCCUUGGUAAAGAUUGCCGCUCCACCACCUUUGGAAGAUCUGUCUGAAAAAGGUUAUAACCAGAAAGGUUAACAUCAGUAUUCAAAACACUCUUCCUUAACACUGUCUCAGUAAUGACCAACACAUCUGGAUUGGAGCUGUGAACCCACACUUUCCAUUGAUCCAUUUUAGGUAAUAAGCUUUUAGAGUUAACCAGCAGAAAACCCAGGCUUUUACGAGAGCAGAAAUCAGUGAAGCAGAUAUCAGAGCACAAAGUCAGAAUUGGUGCCAGCAACAGUAGAUGUGCCAGGGUGUAAAUGCACAUUUCCAGAUAUCAUCAACAGUAAUACAAUCAGGGCACGGCAGAGGACAGGGAGAGCACCAGAUGGCAACAAGAUCAGAUUGUACAGAAAUGUCAUCAGGUAACAUGAAUACAAAGCCGGCGGUGGUUAGAAUAGGAUGGGAGGCCAAAAGUCUGUGUAACCAAUAGACAGUCAGAGUCCCGAGUGUGGAAACAAACAUAGUCUGUCCCACGGUUGGGUAAAGAAAGUUCGUAGUCAACAAAGUAUGAAGGAGUCAUGAGGCAAAUAGCAAAAUGAACAAGAAAAAUAAAAUACACUACCGUUCAAAAGUUUGGGGUCACUUAGAAAUUAGCUUGUUUUCCAUGAAAACAUACAUGAAAUGAGUUGCAAAAUGAAUAAGAAAUACAUUUUUAUCAAAUUAAUAGGAAAUAUAGUCAAGACGUUGACAAGGUUAUAAAUAAUGAUAUUUUAUUUAAAUAAUAUUUGUGUCCUUCAAACUUUGCUUUUGUCAAAGAAUCCUCCAUUUGCAACAAUUACAGCCUUGCAGACCUUUGGCAUUCUAGUUGUCAAUUUGUUGAGGUAAUCUGAAGAGAUUUCACCCCAAGCUGCUCCCACAACAGCUCAAUAGGGUUGAGAUCCGGUGACUGUGCUGGCCACUCCAUUAUAGACAGAAUACCAGCUGACUGCUUCUUCCCUAAAUACUUCUUGCAUACAGUGGCUUGCGAAAGUAUUGAACCCCUUUGGCAUUUUUCCUAUUUUGUUGCCUUACAACCUGGAAUUAAAAUAGAUUUUUGGGGGGGGUUGUAUCAUUUGAUUUACACAACAUGCCAACCACUUUGAAGAUACAAAAUAUAUUUUUUUGUGAAACAAAGAAAUAAUAAAAAAAUAAUAAUAACUUGAACGUGCAUAACUAUUCACCCCCCCAAAGUCAAUACUUUGUAGAGCCACUUUUUGCAGCAUUUACAGCUACAAGUCUCUUGGGGUAUGUCUCUAUAAGCUUGGCACAUCUAGCCACUGGGAUUUUUGCUCAUUCUUCAAGGCAAAACUGCUCCAGCUCCUUCAAGUUGGAUGGGUUCCGCUGGUGUACAGCAAUCUUUAAGUCAUACCACAGAUUCUCAAUUGGUUUGAGGUUUGGGCUUUGACUAGGCCAUUCCAAGACAUUUAAAUGUUUCCCCUUAAACCAAUCAGGUGUUGUUUUAGCAGUACACUUAGGAUCAUUGUCCUGAAGGUGAACCUCUGUCCCAGUCUCAAAUCUCAGGCAAGACUGAAACAGGUUUCCCCUCAAGAAUUUCCCUAUAUUUAGCGCCACCCAUCAUUCCUUCAAUUCUGACCAGUUUCCCUGUCCCUGCUGAUGAAAAACAUCCCAACAGCAUGAUGCUGCCACCAUGCUUCACUGUGGGGAUGAUGUUCUCGGGGUGAUGAGAGGUGUUGGGUUUGCUCCAGACAUAGCGUUUAUCUUGAUGGCCAAAAAGCUCAGUUUUAGUCUAAUCUGACCAGAGUAUCUUGUUCCAUAUGUUUGGGGAGUCUCCCACAUCCCUUUUGGCGAACACCAAACAUGCUUGCUUCUUUUUUUCUUUAAGCAAUGGCUUUUUUCUGGCCACUCUUCCGUAAAGCCCAGCUCUGUCGAGUGUACGGCUUAAAGGGGUCCUAUGGACAGAUCUCCGCUGUGGAGCUUUGCAGCUCCUUCAAGGUUAUCCUUGGUCUCUUUGUUGCCUCUCUGGUUAAUGCCCUCCUUGCCUGGUCCGUGAGUUUUGGUGGGCGGCCCUCUCUUGGCAGGUUUGUUGUGGUGCCAUAUUCUUUCCAUUUUUUAAUAAUGGAUUUAAUGGCGCUCUGUGGGAUGUUCAAAGUUCCGGAUAUUUUUUUAGAACCCAACCCUGAUCUGUACUUCUCCACUACUUUGUCCCUGACCAGUUUGGAGAGACUUCCUUGGUCUUCAUGUUGCCCCUUGCUUAGUGGUGUUGUAGACUCUGGGGCCUUUCAGAAAAGGUAUAUGUAUAUAUAUAUAUAUAUAUAUGAGAUCAUAUAACAGAUCAUGUGAGACUUAAAUAAAGUCCACCUGUGUGCAAUCUAACUAAUUACGUGACUUCUGAAGGUAAUUAGUUGCACCAGGUCUUAUUUAAGGGCUUCAUAGCAAAGGGAAUACAUAUGCAUGCAUCACUUCUCCAUUUUGAUUUUUUAUACGUUUUUGAAACAAGUUAUCUUUUCAUUUCACUUCACCAAUUUGGACUAUUUUUGUGUAUGUCCAUUACAUGAAAUCCAAACUAAAAUCUAUUUAAAUUACAGGUUGUAAUGAUACAAAAUAGGAAAAACGCCAAGGGGGAUGAAUACAUUUGCAAGGCACUGUAGUUUGGAGCUGUGCUUUGGGUCAUUGUCCUGUUGUAGGAUGAAAUUGGCUCCAGUUAAGCGCCGUCCACAGGGUAGGGCAUGGCGUUGCAAAAUGGAGUGAUAGCCUUCCUUCUUCAAGAUCCCUUUUACCCUGUACAAAUCUCCCACUUUACCAGCACCAAAGCAGCCCCAGACCAUCACAUUGGCUCCACCAUGAUGACAGAUGCAUCAAGCACUCCUCCAGCAUCUUUUCAUUUUUUCUGCGUCUCACGAAUGGUCUUCUUUGUGAUCCGAACACCUCAAACUUAGAUUCGUCUGUCCAUAACACUUUUUUCCAACCAUCGUCUGUUAUUUUGCCCAUCUUAAUCUUUUAUUUUUAUAGGCCAGUCUGAGAUAUGGCUUUUUCUUUGCAACUCUGCCUAGAAGGCCAGCAUCCCGGAGUCGCCUCUUCACUGUUGACGUUGAGAAUGGUGUUUUGAAGGUACUAUUUAAUGAAGCUGCCAGUUGAGGACUUGUGAGGCGUCUGUUUCUCAAACUAGACACUCUAAUGUACUUGUCCUCUUGCUCAGUUGUGCACCGGGGCCUCCCACUCCUCUUUCUAUUCUGGUUAGAGCCAGUUUGCUCUGUUCUGUGAAGGGAGUAGUACAAGGCGUUGUACAAGAUCUUCAGUUUCUUGGCAAUUUCUCGCAUGGAAUAGCCUUCAUUUCUUAGAACAAGAAUAGACUGACGAGUUUCAGAAGAAAGUUAUUUGUUUCUGGCCAUUUUGAGCCUGUAAUUGAACCAACAAAUGCUGAUGCUCCAGAUACUCAACUAGUCUUAUUGCCUCUAAUCAGAACAACAGUUUUCAGCUGUGCUAACAUAAUUGCAAAACGGUUUUCUAAUGAUCAAUUAGCCUUUUAAAAUGAUGAACUUGGAUUAGCUAACACAACGUGCCAUUGGAACACAGGAGUGAUGGUUGCUGAUAAUGGGCCUCUGUACGCCUAUGUAGAUACUCCAUUAAAACUCAGCUGUUUCCAGCUACAAUAGUCAUUUACAACAUUAACAAUGUCUACACUGUAUUUCUGAUCAAUUUGAUGUUAUUUUAAUGGACAAUUUUUUUUGCUUUUCUUUCAAAAACAAGGACAUUUCUAAGUGACCCCAAACUUUUGAACGUUAGUGUGUAUGGGGAAUACAACAGAAUGUAAUAUAAAUAUGGGGAAUACAACAGGAGAAUGCUCCCAUGGCGAACGAACUCUGUGCAACACCGGCCAGUCAGAAGACAAGACGUAAUGCACAACUUUUGUUAUACUACUGUGUAUAAAAGUACCAUGUGGGUAAAAUGUAUAUGAAACAAAAAAAAAAGAAUUAUCUUGAAAGUAAGUUUGUUAGAAUUCAAAAAUAAUUUCUGAUUGAAGAAAAGGUGUGAGAAACAGGUUGAAUCCAAUAAGGUCAUGAAUGGCUGAAAACAAUAAGGUGAUGAAUGGCUGAAUACAAUAAGGUCAUGAAUGGCUGAACACAAUAAGGUUAUGAAUGGCUGAAAACAAUAAGGUCAUGAAUGGCUGAAAACAAUAAGGUUAUGAAUGGCUGAAAACAAUAAGGCGAUGAAUGGCUGAAUACAAUGAGGUGAUGAAUGGCUGAAAACAAUAAGGUUAUGAAUGGCUGAAAACAAUAAGGCCAUGAAUGGCUGAAUACAAUGAGGUCAUGAAUGGCUGAAUGGCUGAAAACAAUAAGGUGAUGAAUGGCUGAAUACAAUAAGGUGAUGAAUGAUGUCUGCUAAAUGCCAUUAUUAUAUUCAUAUACUACAAAGUUUAACCAUCAGAAUCAUCCCUAAAGCUUCUCCCAUAAUCAUAUUCCUCUUAGCUUAUUAUACAAUUAUAAUAUUAUAUAUAUAUAUAUAUAUAUAUAUAUAUAUAUAAGGUGAUAUAUAUAUAUACACACACACACACUUAUGCAAAAAUAUGUAUUCUAUUUUAGUGAGCCAUUUACUUUAUGUUCAUAUUAUUAUCUUUUAGUGUUUCUUAUUGUUGCAUCGUCAUGAAGGAACCUGCAAGUAAGCAUUUCUUUGGACAAUGUAGUGUAUACCGUGCGUACCCCGUACAUAGGACAAAAACUUUAAACAUGGACCGACAAUAUAAUGAAUAUAUCACUGCUUUCUAACAAGUGCAGGAACCUUAAACCAAAUAUUUCAACAAAGUCUUAAGAUCAGGAGGAUUCUGAAUGUGGUGCCGGAGCGUAGCAGAUCACAUCAGGGAUGUGCUCCAAAUGGCGCCCUAUUCCCUAUUUAGUGCACUACUUUUAAUCAGGGCACGUUGGAGCUCUGGUCAAAAGUAGUGGACUAUACAAGGAAUAGGAUGCCAUAUGGGAUGUAAUCCAGAUUUCCCAAUCUGAAUAAGAAUUACGUUUUGGAAUGUUGCUAAUCAUUUUAAUUUAUUCAUUAACCAAUACCAAUCAUAUUAUAUUAUUCUCUCAUUAAUUAAUUAACCAAUACCAAUCAUAUUAUCUUAUUCUCUCAUUAAUUAAUUAACCAAUACCAAUCAUAUUAUUCUCGAAUUAAUUAUUAAUUAUUUUAAAAAAAUCAUUUUCACAUUGUUAUAAUGAACUUUAAACCCUCUGCCAAACACUCAUACAACAUGUAAAACUCUUCCAAUAUUAUCAACAUCCAAUGAAGCAAAUGUCUGUAAAGUCCUACUAAGUUACCUUACAGCCCCUUGGCCAAAGUAGCGCCCUAAAUAAUAGGGUGUUAGGACACGACCCAUGAGUUAUCCCUGGCCAACCCAUGUAAUUAGACCAGGUAAUACCAUGAGUUAUCCCUGGCCAACCCAGGUAAUACCAUGAGUUAUCCCUGGCCAACCCAUGUAAUUAGACCAGGUAAUACCAUGAGUUAUCCCUGGCCAAC
rnacentral:lncRNA from 1 species